AGUCUUGUAUGGGAAGUUGAAAACUCCUGCAACCUACAAUUACAGUACCCCACCCUAUUUUCACCUUCCCACCCUCUUCAAAUCUUGGCCUCACUUCUCUCUCUCUCUCCCUCUAAGAAACUGGCCGGCCACCACCACGGGCGGCGGAGCCACGAUGGUGGUGUGGCGGCGAUGGGAAAAGACAACAAAGCGUGCGGCGUUUCGGUGGAGGUAGGGGUCGCGGCGGUGCGUGCGAGGAGAUGGUAGGGGUGGUUCUGGAUUUCAUGGGUGAAUCGGUGGGGGGUGUGGCAGUUGUUUUGGCUUGGGUGCAGGAGGUUCAGGGCUGGCGUCACUGUGUUGGGCGAUGGGCUGGCGUCGAGCCACUGAGAAAUGAGGCAGGGCAGCGGGCUGUGGUGGUUGGCGUUGGGCAUUUUGUCAGCAGAUAGCAGCAGCAGCAGUGGCAGCGACAUCCAACGACAGAGCCGUUUUCCGGCGACUGUUGCCGGUGGCGGUGGGAUUCCACAGUAGAGCUCCGGGUCUUGGCUUCGGAGCUUCGUUCGGGUUCGAUACAGGAUCAACUUGGUCAGAUCCAUUCUGGUUCGGGCUACGGUUUGCUCGGUUCACAGAUUUGGUUCAGUUCAUUGCAGAUGCAGUCAACGGUUGGGUCUUGUUCCGGUCAAGGCAGUUGAACAGAGGGCUCCGUUCAGUCAAGUUCGGGUCACGGUUCUGAUUUCGGGUUGGUUUAACUCGGUCAAACAUAUUCAACUCAGUCAAAAGGCAGUCAGUGGUUUGGUCAACUGGUCAACACGGGUCAAACCCGGUCAACGCAGUCAAAACUCAGUCAAAUGAAGAUCCGUUGCACGCUAGCUACUUCACGUUCUUGGAACGACACUACGGAAUCACACUAAGCUAGCUUUGUACAGGAAUACCUAGAGGCUCUCCACCGACAAAGAAAACAAGUCACCCGCUUCUUUCGUUUUCUCACCUUUGUCAAACGAGACGAAUCCAAAGUCACCUAAUUUGACGGAUCCUUUCUACUCGCUUUUCACGUACAACGUCGGUCUCCUAGGCUCUGAUAUCAAAUGUUGGUUCAGGCCCCUCAACACACUAGCAAUGCACUCAGAAACUUAUGUAUGUAUGUAGUGUGUAUAUGAAGAUUAUUUGUAAAAGAAAUAUGAAGGAAAAAUUGCUUCUGUUACGAAAGAAGAAAAUGGGUACAAAAGAAAAGAACUCUAUCAUAUCCUAUUUAUAAUAAAGAAAACAAAUAAAAUGCAUGUGCAGAAUUAUUAAAAGGAGCUCCACUCUCCAUGAAAUCAUCAACAAACUGCAGCCCUAUUUUCAAUCACGUGUACAAAAAACUUGCAACUGAUAUAUUUGACCAAGACCGAGUCCACUGCCCGUUUGAUGACCCGGAAUCCAUAUGUUGGACCCAUGACUCGAUAGGCCGAUAUUGUGCUGACUUGUGACCCGUA